rnacentral:pre_miRNA from 1 species
UUGCUGCUCCUGAGGAUGAAACAUUUGUGACUAGAGUCUUGGCGGACUCUAGUCGCAAAUGUUUCAUCCUCCCCUGUUAGACAC